UACGGAGGGGGCAAGCGUUGUCCGGAAUUAUUGGGCGGAAAGAGCUCGUAGGCGGCCCGCUAAGUCGAAUGUGAAAUCUCACGGCUCAACCGUGAAACUGCAUCCGAUACUGGCGGGCUUGGGGCAGGUAGAGGAAGGUGGAAUUCCUGGUGUAGCGGUGAAAUGCGCAGAUAUCAGGAGGAACACCGGUGGCGAAGGCGGCCUUCUGGGCCAGUACUGACGCUGAGGAGCGAAAGCGUGGGGAGCAAACAGG
rnacentral:misc_RNA from 1 species